rnacentral:rRNA from 1 species
AUUGAACGCUGGCGGCAUGCUUUACACAUGCAAGUCGAGCGGCAGCGCGGGGGCAACCCUGGCGGCGAGCGGCGAACGGGUGAGUAAUACAUCGGAACGUGUCCCGUAGUGGGGGAUAGCCCCGGCGAAAGCCGGAUUAAUACCGCAUAUGCUCUACGGAGGAAAGCGGGGGACCGUAAGGCCUCGCGCUAUGGGAGCGGCCGAUGUCCGAUUAGCUUGUUGGCGGGGUAAAGGCCCACCAAGGCGACGAUCGGUAGCUGGUCUGAGAGG